rnacentral:rRNA from 1 species
UACAGAGGUCUCAAGCGUUGUUCGGAUUUACUGGGCGUAAAGGGCGCGUAGGCGGCGUGGUAAGUCAGCUGUGAAAUCUCCGAGCUUAACUCGGAACGGUCAGCUGAUACUGCUGUGCUAGAGUGCAGAAGGGGCAAUCGGAAUUCUUGGUGUAGCGGUGAAAUGCGUAGAUAUCAAGAGGAACACCUGAGGUGAAGACGGGUUGCUGGGCUGACACUGACGCUGAGGCGCGAAAGCUAGGGGAGCAAACGGG